UCGAUUCUGCGUUAAAGGGAACGGGUCGGUGCGGGAGGGGCUCGAAAGCGGCCCUCGCCCUUCCCAUUACAGACGGGGAAACUGAGGCCCAGAGUGGGGAAGUCGCCAGCCUGAAGGGCCCAGAGAGAGAGAGCUGAUUGUUAAACAUUUACCAGCAUACCUCUGAGAGUGGGCUUUGGAGCCAUGAUAGACCUGAGUUCAAAUCCUGCUUGUGACCCAUACCAGCUGUGUGACAAUGGGGUGAGAAAAUCCCUUUCAACUCAGAUCAUGCCCUGCUUACUCCAUGGAUCUAUGAAAAUCACCGCAUGAAUUUCACGUCGCAAUUCUAGGGGUCAAGACCGAGCCAAAAACUUAUGUAUUCCUGCUGGCAAUACAAUUGCUGUUCUGUUUAUAUCUAUAUCCAUAUCAAUAUUCACAGAUCUGUGUGUAUGAAAAAAAAAAGACUAUCCAAUCCAGUCUUUCUUUCACUACCCACAAUGCAUUCAUCAUAUACUACAGUCAAGUUGUACUUCCUUUAUGAAGCCUUCUGAUCACCUUAUUAUUGUUUAUUGUUAUUGUUUUUCAGUCAUGUCCAACUC